rnacentral:rRNA from 1 species
GAGACACGGCCCAGACUCCUACGGGAGGCAGCAGUGGGGAAUUUUGCGCAAUGCUCGAAAGAGUGACGCAGCGACCCCGCGUGAAUGAAGAAGGCCUUCGGGUCGUAAAGUUCUUUCGACAGGGAAGAAAGUUAUCAUCAGUAACUGGGUCAUAUUUGACGGAACCUGUAUAAGCAGCCCCGGCUAACUCCGUGCCAGCAGCCGCGGUAAUACAGAGGGGGCGAGCGUUGUUCGGAGUGACUGGGCCUAAAGAGCACGUAGGCGGUGAUGUAAGUCAUUGGUUAAAGGCAGCAGGUCAACUGCUGUAAGGCCGAUGAUACUAUGUUGCUGGAGUGCCGGAGAGGAUUGCAGAAUUCCUGGUGUAGCGGUGAAAUGCGUAGAUAUCAGGAGGAAUACCUGUUGCGAAGGCGGCAAUCUGGUCGGUAACUGACGCUGAGGUGCGAAAGCGUGGGUAGCAAACAGGAUUAGAUACCCUGGUAGUCCACGCUGUAAACGAUGGACGCUAGAUGUCGGGAGGUAUACUUUCGGUGUCGCAGCAAACGCGAUAAGCGUCCCGCCUGGGGAGUACGUUCGCAAGAAUGAAACUCAAAGGAAUUGACGGGGGCCCGCACAAGCGGUGGAGCACGUGGUUUAAUUCGAUGCUAA